UACGUAGGGACCAAGCGUUGUUCGGAUUUACUGGGCGUAAAGGGCGCGUAGGCGGCGCGGUAAGUCACUUGUGAAAUCUCUGAGCUUAACUCAGAACGGCCAAGUGAUACUGCAGUGCUAGAGUGUGGAAGGGGCAAUCGGAAUUCUUGGUGUAGCGGUGAAAUGCGUAGAUAUCAAGAGGAACACCUGAGGUGAAGACGGGUUGCUGGGCCAACACUGACGCUGAUGCGCGAAAGCCAGGGGGGCAAACGGG
rnacentral:rRNA from 1 species